UACGUAGGGUGCGAGCGUUACUCGGAAUUACUGGGCGUAAAGCGUGCGCAGGCGGUUCGCCAAGUCAGGUGUGAAAUCCCCGGGCUUAACCUGGGAAUUGCGCUUGAAACUAGCGGGCUUGAGUGCGGCAGAGGGGGGUGGAAUUCCACGUGUAGCAGUGAAAUGCGUAGAGAUGUGGAGGAACACCGAUGGCGAAGGCAGCCUCCUGGGCUAGUACUGACGCUCAUGCACGAAAGCGUGGGGAGCAAACAGG
rnacentral:rRNA from 1 species